GUUAACUGCGUGCCGGCAGUGGGUGGAAUAGGAGGGUGUCAAGGGUGAAUGGGAAUUAGUGAGGUGAAAGGGUGCUCAGGCGGUUCGUGAAGGCUGUUGUGAAGUCCCCGGGCGCAACCUGGGAAUGGAAAUGGAGACUGGCGAGCUAGAGGGUGGCAGAGGAUGGUGGAAUUCCGGGUGUAGCGGUGAAAUGCGUAGAGAUCGGGAGGAACAUCAGUGGCGAAGGCGGCCAUCUGGGACAACACUGACGCUGAAGCACGAAAGCGUGGGGAGCAAACAGGAUUAGAUACCCUUGUAGUC
rnacentral:rRNA from 1 species